ensembl:lncRNA
GUGGUUUGCCGUUGAUCCGCGCGAGGCUCUGAGGUGCAAUGCUCUGCGGCAGCUGUUGCUGUAGAAAAUUAGACAAUGUCUUUCAUAGGGGCAAGAAAAAAGGGAAGGUUACUGCAGGUUUUAACCUUAGGAUCCGUGUCUUUGAAGAACAAGGCUCACUAAAUAUGAGAUGGUGAACAUGAGAUUCCUAUUUUGGCAGUGCCAGGUCAUGACUGCUGGGGCCUGGUCAGAGAGGAGGUGGACAGGUGGGACCCACUCGGAUGGCCCUGCCCGUAGAGUCUCAGGCAUGCAGCAGGGCUGGGACCUGAUAGCAGUCCCCCAGGUUAACCCCUGGGAGCAAGUCAGCUGGAAGCCCACCUAUGGCUUGGAAAGCAAAGCCCGAGACGUUGGCACCAUAGCACCCUCUGUAUCUCCCUAUUAAGUACUAGAUAAGUGGAUGAAAAAUAGACCCAGAGAAUAUUGGUGUGGCAGAGCUUUCCAAAGCAGCUUUUCUGGCAGAAAUCCAGGUGAGGCAGGGCCCCGCAUGGAACAUGGAAUGAAGAACAUGCCUUGUUUGCUCCCUCUCACAGAUGAGGCAGGGCCCAGCAGGAGGAGAACAGGUGACAAGAGGGUGGUGGAGCAAGGCCUGGUCAAGAAGAGGACUGUCUUCCUUCCCUCCCAUUCUCCAGAAAACUAUCAAGCAUGGGGUCCUGUGGGCCUUAGCUACUCUCUUGGCUCCAGUUACAGACAAGGUCCUUUUACCUCACCCUACACUUCCCUUAUCUCUACCAAUAUAAAUAAACAUGCUGCAUUUGCCUGGGGUCUUCUUCUCCCAUCAGGAGUUAGAGCCCCAGCUGGCCCCCCACCUUUGUUUCUCUUUGUUCUUUUGUAACUUUCUUUCUUUACCUUUUCUCAAUCUCCCACCGUCAUUUCACUAGUGGACCCUUCAGCCACACAGGCCAUGGCAGGUGGACAGUCCUGUGAGUCUUGAUACACAUCUAGUUUUAUGUAGUCCACAUCACAGAACCCAGAGCAGUUCCGACACCCUGAAAUUCUCCCACAUACUUUGUAGUCAGGCCUUCAUCACACCCAGCCCCUGGCAAAUACUGAUCUCUUCUCUGCUUCUGUGAAUUUGCUUUCUCCAUGGUGUUAUGUAAACUUCAUGAUGCAUAGUGUGACCUCAUAAGACUGACACUUUCUCUGGGCAAAAUGUCUUUGAGAUUUAUCCAUGUUGCUGCUUUUUGCUGGUUUGUUUGCAUCCACCUGACAAAGGAUAUUUGGAUUCUAGUUUUGUUGACUGUAAUAAAGCUGCUAUAAACUUUAAUGUGAAAAAGCUGCUCUAAAUGUAAGAGUCAUAUUAAAACAAAGGUAAUGUAUACUCCUUGAAACUUAUUGUUUCCUAGGGGCCAGGGAUUUAGCUCAGUGGUUCUGGUGCCUGCCUUGUAAGCACAAGGACUGGAGUUCAAUCUCCGGUACCAAAAAAAAAAAAAAAAAAAAGAAACUUAUAGUUGACUACAUUUUACUUGUAUCUGU